UACGAAGGGGGCUAGCGUUGUUCGGAAUUACUGGGCGUAAAGCGCACGUAGGCGGACUAUUAAGUCAGGGGUGAAAUCCCGGGGCUCAACCCCGGAACUGCCUUUGAUACUGGUAGUCUCGAGUCCGGAAGAGGUGAGUGGAAUUCCGAGUGUAGAGGUGAAAUUCGUAGGUAUUCGGAGGAACACCAGUGGCGAAGGCGGCUCACUGGUCCGGUACUGACGCUGAGACUCGAAAGCGUGGGGAGCAAACAGG
rnacentral:rRNA from 1 species